GUGGGGAAUAUUGGACAAUGGGCGAAAGCCUGAUCCAGCCAUGCCGCGUGUGUGAAGAAGGUCUUCGGAUUGUAAAGCACUUUAAGUUGGGAGGAAGGGCAGUAAGUUAAUACCUUGCUGUUUUGACGUUACCAACAGAAUAAGCACCGGCUAACUUCGUGCCAGCAGCCGCGGUAAUACGAAGGGUGCAAGCGUUAAUCGGAAUUACUGGGCGUAAAGCGCGCGUAGGUGGUUUUGUAAGUUGGAGGUGAAAUCCCCGGGCUCAACCUGGGAACUGCCUCCAAAACUUCAUGACUAGAGGACGGUAGAGGGUAGUGGAAUUUCCUGUGUAGCGGUGAAAUGCGUAGAUAUAGGAAGGAACACCAGUGGCGAAGGCGACUACCUGGACUGAUACUGACACUGAGGUGCGAAAGCGUGGGGAGCAAACAGGAUUAGAAACCCGGGUAGUCC
rnacentral:rRNA from 1 species